ACCCAGGGAAGCUAAGCGAACACCCAUAAUUUGGAGGAACAGUCUUGACAGGUAAGGCAGUCUACUGAGUUAAGUCAGUGAAUGGGAUUGUUGCAGGAGUUUGUUUUUUAUCAUAAUGGUCUCAUGAAGGGUGCUGAGGGCUAGUCAAACCUGCUUUUUAGGUAGCCAGGCAGACUUAUCAAACCAUUAAGUUACCUCUUAUUUGAAGAUUGAAUUUCGAAUGUGAAUACUACGUAAGAGUCACUCGGGUUUGUCAAAACUUUAUGUAGGACUUUAAAAUGUAUAGCUAAAAAACUGGAGGCAAUUCGGGUAGUCAAAAAUGUUGUACCUGCGAUAAUCUACAUUUGAUUCUUUACUUAUAAGCUAUAUUUGCUUAAACUCGGAAAGAGGAUAAUGAUGACCAAACUACACAGUAAGCAAAGCCAUAAAAGUAGUCACAGAUUUCUUAACCAUUAGACCAACGAUCUUGCCCAGUGCUACUUAUAAAAUGUACCGAGUAUAUGAUGAGGUUAAAGGCUGAUUUAAUUGCAUUAAUCAUUUUUUAAAGACAUUGUUUUGUUAGUUACCUUGCAGGUUGUCAUCCCUCAGUGUAGUCAUGGUGUGGUGAAUGCAACGCUGGAGCUGUUCCUUCCACUGAUCCUACCAUCCCAUGACAGAAGUAAUAUGAAUGUUUGAAUCAAAUGAGAAAAUAGAAUUAGCUUUUACAAACAACUUAGCCACCAAAAGGACCAAUGGCAUUUGCUUCCAGAAAGACUCUGCUAGGGUUGAAACAUCAGUCCAUUAACCUUUUUUUUGCAAGGGUUGAUUUAAUGUAUUCUUUCAAUCGCCUAAAAGAGUGCUAACUACUCAAAGUCAAAAUACAGGAAUGUUCUUUGCUGGGGGAGAAAUAUUUCCUUCUGCAGAAGAUCAGCAUAUCAGACAGAUGCAAGUGUGGUAUCCAUCAAACAGUUCAGUGUACCUUUAUCAACUCCUGCUCUUUAGUAAUUGUUCUCUUUCAGAUGGCUGCCCAGGAUGUUCACCACGUCUUGUUCUGGCAAGGUGAAGAAGACGAACCAUCCAUACAGUUGAGAUGUCUUCCUACUAGGAUGGAAAUGAUCACCAGAUGCAUCGGACAGGGAUCUUGACUUCUCUUGCCAUACACCGUGGCCGCCUUCCACUUGAACCUCUGGUUUGGCUGAGACAUAAUUUGGAGGAGCAGUCUUGAUAGGCUGUCAUCCCUCAAUGUAGUCAUGGUGUGGUGAAUGUCAAUGCUGGAGCUGUCGUCUCGGCAAAAGAUGUUCCCCCUCCCCUGAUCCUACCAUCCCAUGACGGAGACGUAAUAUGAAGAUGGUAACCCAGGAUAUCCACCACGUCUUGUUCUGGCAAGGUGAAGUAGACGAACCAUCUACACAGAUGAGAUGUCCUCCUACUCGAUUGGAUAUGGUCACCAGAUGCAUUGGACAGGAAUUUUGACUUCUUCAUUGAGGAGUGCAGAUAUUCUCGAUGAACCUUUUGUUUGGCUGAGACAUAAUUUAAAGGAGCAGUCCCCAGAGCUAGAAGGGGUAAUCUUGGUAGUCCACUCACAGUCAAGAUGUCCCAACUAUAAUGAAUGAUGAUGGUUGAGACGGGAAGAGUGUGCAGAUGACUGAGAUGGGAUCAUGAAAGACUCGGUAUCUCCACAGACAUCUACCCAUCACCAAGUAGAUGUCCAAGACCAGCCUUCAAUUGACGGUCAUCUACCCAUCACCAAGUAGAUGUCCAAGACCAGCCUUCAGUUGACGGUCAUCUACCCAUCACCAAGUAGAUGUCCAAGACCAGCCUUCAAUUGACGGUCAUCUACCCAUCACCAAGUAGAUGUCCAAGACCAGCCUUCAGUUGACGGUCAUCUACCCAUCACCAAGUAGAUGUCCAAGACCAGCCUUCAAUUGACGGUCAUCUACCCAUCACCAAGUAGAUGUCCAAGACCAGCCUUCAGUUGACGGUCAUCUACCCAUCACCAAGUAGAUGUCCAAGACCAGCCUUCAAUUGACGGUCAUCUACCCAUCACCAAGUAGAUGUCCAAGACCAGCCUUCAGUUGACGGUCAUCUACCCAUCACCAAGUAGAUGUCCAAGACCAGCCUUCAGUUGACGGUCAUCUACCCAUCACCAAGUAGAUGUCCAAGACCAGCCUUCAGUUGACGGUCAUCUACCCAUCACCAAGUAGAUGUCCAAGACCAGCCUUCAGUUGACGGUCAUCUACCCAUCACCAAGUAGAUGUCCAAGACCAGCCUUCAAUUGAGUAGCUGCACUCUCCAGUUAAAGAAAGGCCCAGAAUCUCCAAAUACAUCUACUCGUCCACCUAGCAGGACCAUUCGAGAAACUGCAACCCAUAUGCUGCCUGGCCCAAGGCUACAGUAAAGAUCUACUAACACCGCCUCAAGCUUGCUGGGCACUGUGUCCUCCACUCUGAGGUUGUUUCUUGCCCAACCAUCCUUUUCUUGUUGGAGAAGAUGUCUUUCAUUCAUAGACACCCUGAGACGAGACACCGGCUUCGCCAGCGCUGAGGGACUAAGCUCCUGCAUGCUGGAUCAAAACAUCUGGAUAGAAACACUUGGCAGGCUCGAGCUACUUUGCAUGGCGCUCGCUUUGAUGAAGAAGAUGUAGGAGCUGCACUCUCCAGAAAAGAGCUGAAAGCAAGUUUUCUUUUUCCAAACUGUUUUUAUGGAGGGUGAUGUUUGUAAAAACUAAAAGUUGCAGUCUGGCUAAGCAUCUGCAAAGACUUCUUCCACUUAACAAGGAGAUCUCCAUUCAAGACCAGCCGCUGA